rnacentral:rRNA from 1 species
UACGAAGGGGGAGCUAGCGUUGCUCGGAAUCACUGGGCGUAAAGGGUGCGUAGGCGGGUUUUUAAGUCAGGGGUGAAAUCCUGGAGCUCAACUCCAGAACUGCCUUUGAUACUGAAGAUCUUGAGUCCGGGAGAGGUGAGUGGAACUGCGAGUGUAGAGGUGAAAUUCGUAGAUAUUCGCAAGAACACCAGUGGCGAAGGCGGCUCACUGGCCCGAUACUGACGCUGAGGCACGAAAGCGUGGGGAGCAAACAGG